UUCAAACAUCUCGUGAUGAUGCUUUUAAUGAGAAAAGAGGCAGACACGAAAAUCUCGUGAAGGUGCAUUCAGUGCGGAUCUGUCAAACUAUCUUUUUAGUGCGAGAAUACGAAGAAACAGAUGGACAGGCUCACAGAACACCGUGUUUUCGUGAAAACGUUCCAACUAUCUUUAAUAGCAUGUCAUGCCAAAAUGAAUAUUUUUACCCUGUUAGAGUGUCACAAUAUGAUACCUAAGUAAAGCAAGUGGCAUGAUCUUCUAUGUGUGCCCACUCAUUUCUAGAGUCAUAUAUAUGAAAGUAUUUGCAAGGAAGAGUAUAGUUAGUUUCACUCAAAAUGAUGUUAAGAUAACCAAAGAUUGACAUUGUGAAUGGAGCACUCGAUAGAGGAAGCAAUAUAUCUCCAAUAGUUCAAAGUUGCGAAUGAGAGUUGCUAUUGUAGAUCUGGAAAGACUGUCUUUCACACGCCAAUGCUACGACAAAUCCUCAUGUUUAUACAAAAAAAUUUAUGUUAGCUACUUCAAGAAUCUACAAAUUGUUAUGUUCUUGAUCACAUAGUUUUUUCAAAGCAGAUAACACAUUCAGAUC